UACCAGCACCCCGAGUGGUCGGGACGAUUAUUGGGCCUAAAGCAUCCGUAGCCGGUCCUACAAGUCUUCCGUUAAAUCCACCUGCUCAACAGAUGGGCUGCGGAAGAUACUAUAGGGCUAGGAGGCGGGAGAGGAAGCGGUACUCAGUGGGUAGGGGGUAAAAAUCCUCUGAUCCAUUGAAGAACCACCAGUGGCGAAAGGCGGCUUGCCA
rnacentral:rRNA from 1 species